rnacentral:rRNA from 1 species
UACAGAGGUCUCAAGCGUUGUUCGGAUUCAUUGGGCGUAAAGGGUGCGUAGGCGGCGCGGUAAGUCGGAUGUGAAAUCUCGGAGCUUAACUUCGAAACUGCAUUCGAUAUCUGCCGUGCUUGAGGACUGGAGAGGAGACUGGAAUUUACGGUGUAGCGGUGAAAUGCGUAGAUAUCGUAAGGAAGACCAGUGGCGAAGGCGGGUCUCUGGACAGUUCCUGACGCUGAGGCACGAAGGUCAGGGAGCAAACGGG